UCUAUUUUAUGCAUGAAUUUUCAGCCAAAGGGAAAUACAGGUUGGCUGCAAGAAUAUGAAGCCUCUACCUCAGACAAAAUGAAUUUAAAAAAAUAGAUUCUGCAGAUCUGUGCUUCUGUUUGAGGGUAUAUAAUAUGGACACUGCACGAAGAGCUGACCUUUAUUAAAAGAAAUGCACGUUGAAUCUCGCCUCGUUUCUCAUUCAUCACAAGCUCUCAUGGAGCUGCCAACUGUGUAAACUCUGUGCUGCAUAGAUAAUGAUGGAGCUUUGAUUGCUUAUCUUCAGACAAAUUAAUACAAUAUUCUCAUCAUAUGUUUCUUCACCAAGAGCAAAAAAUGAAAUGUAUUCGUGCAUUACAUUAAAAUAAUUUCAAGAUAACUAUAUUUUAUGGCAGUUAUUCAUGGUCUGUCAUUGGGAAAAUAAUGCAGAUUCCUUAUGUCCUUUUCCUCACUAUAUAAUAAGCACAUAUAUUUUUGUUAGAUGCAUCACAAUUUUCUUGAUUCAAUUCCAAUUCUAAGCCUUACUUUCACCAAGUAAAAAAACAAACAAUGGCUCCCUCACCUUUGAGAUCCAAGUCACUUAACCAUGGCCGCUCUCUUAGCUUCCCAUCUUCAUCACAUCCUGCUCUUACUCACUUCGAUGAGAACUUAUCCAGAUUGAGAUCUUCCGAGGCUGCUUGCUCGUCGCUCUCAUCCAUCAACCGCGCUGCAAAUGGCCUCAGAAACUUAUAUGAGAGCAUCGAUGAUUUGCUUCUCUUGCCUCACAUUCAGCAGAUCGUUUCUGAGGAGUGUGUUGAUGAUUACAUCAGCCUAUUGGAUGCUAGCAGCUCAGUUAAGGAUCUCAUCUCACUCGUGAAGGAAGAUCUACGAGAGCUUCUCUCUGCUGUAAGGAGAAAGGAUGUUCGAGGCAUAAACGGCUACCUUGCUUUAAGAAAGCAGUCGAAGAAAAAGAUCCAAAAGUGUUUAGAAGAAGUUGAGACGUAGCAGCGCCUCAGCCUUUUCUGAGAAUGUUUCCAUGUUGAAAGAUGCAGAGUCCGUUGCCAUUUCCUUGCUCGAGUCUCUCUUGUCCUACACGUUGGGGAUGACAAUGCAAGAAAGCAUCAGACGACGAGAAUGAGUUCAACAAGGUGGAUUCAUUCCUGCAACUGAAUCAAGAAAACGAGCUCGUGAAUCACUUGAAAGAGAUGGACUCGAGCAUUCAAGUUCUUGAAGAAGAACUUGAAUCGGUAUUCAGGCAGAUGAUCAAGACCAGACUUUCCCUUCUCAACAUUCUCAACAACUAGAGAUUGAAAAUUUUGUAACUAGUACAUGAAUAUAUAUACUUGUAUAUAUCAAAUUGAUUCACAAGGAUCAUUACAAUACAAUCAGAAAAUUUUCUGCUACAUUCUUGUUCAAUAUCCUGAUAUUAGUAUAUGCUUAAUUUAUCUAUUCAUUCUUAUUGUUGACUUGAAUAUACAAGAUGACAUAUCAAUACAACAAGAUUUACAGCAUCAUACUAUGUUCAUAACUAACAAGAUUUAUAUCUUACAUGUCUACUAACAAAGUUCUAAUAUUAUCUUAUUCAGUUUGUAAUAAUAUUCUCUCCCUCAUUCUAUAUAAAAUCAACAGCUACAUGACUAUCAAAUCAACAGCUACAAGAUAACUGAGCUCUAAAAUACUAUCUAAACUGAUGUCUUCGACAUUUACAGAAAUCAUCUCAAGCCUAAGUAAGUCUAGCAGGGACUGAAAUGAGACUAAAAGAUUCAACACCACAAAUUUUCAAGUGAUACAUGAACUCGUGGACUUGUAUUUCUUCCUUGAUCAUUUUCACAACAGCCAGACUAGAUCUUCAAACCGAGCUGCAAGCAACCAUUCAAUAUUUUCUCAACUUUGUUGAUAAUGAUCCAACGUGUACAAGGCGAAAAAAGCAAAUCAUCGGUGCAUUUGAGGCCGUUUACUGUCCCUCGUUGAUGACAAUGGUGAAACUGAGGUCUUAGGAGCUCCAACUGCUAAUGGCCAUGUUUGAGGGUUUUCGAUUCCAAAGGUGAAUCUACCAGUUUUUUUUUCCAGUUCAUUCUAAUAAGCAAAUAAGGCCUACAAAUUGAACAGAAAAGAGUUAUGCAGUUGUCUACCUAGCGUUUACAGCAUAUAUGCAGAUGAAGAGGAUCCAUGUGAAAUUGAUUGAGAUUCACAAACCAGCAGACUAUUAAUAAUACAUAUUUAUUUUAUGCAUGGACUUUAAGAACCCUGAUUUAACAUGAUUAACUUAUCUAGUCAUUGCAUAUAAACAUCUAGGAAAUAUAUCAUCUAAAAAAAGCAGCAUUAUAGGUAAGAUCCCACCAACCAAAAGAAAAGAGAGAAGCAAAAUAUUACUACUCGAUCACAUUGUGCUGCUCACAAAUGAAAUUGGUGGAAUUAUAAACCUGAAAUUACAUGCAUCAAUCAAGUAUAGUCGGGUGAUUUCUUCUUCACAUCACAAGCACAUUUCCAAAAGUGGAAACAUAUAAGAAUAACCCAUUUGUUAAAGUUUGCUACACUACAUACCAACUUUCUGAAAUUGAUACACUAGCUACCCUUUUUUAAUUUUUUGUCAUUUAUUAAUUGUAAAUCAAUCUAUUUCAAGUACAAUAUGGAUAUCAACUGUAAAUAUACAAGUCCUAUGAGAAAACAAAGAAUAGCAAAGUUGCAAAAAGCAAGCAGUAACAUAUAAGAUGAAGGCAUGAGUUCUUACUUCAGUGGCAGCUAGUUUCUUUACAUCCUCUUCUGUUUGAAUACAAGAUCCAACAUAAAUUUUCUUUGCUCCGUGAUCUGCAAGAGUAAAAUGAAAGCAUCAGCAUGUUGGAGUUCAAUGUCUGAGUCCAUGGACUUUAAGAACCUUGAUUUAGCUAAUGAAUUAUCACAAAAAACAAAAAUACUGAGAGGUCAAGAGCACAAGCAGAUAAUUAUCACAAGCCUCUAGCUCAGACAAAAUGAAUUAAAAGAAAAUAUGAUUCUGCAGAUCUGUGCUUCUGUAUGAGGGCACAAAGCUAUAUAAUUUGGACGUUGCAGGAAGAGCUGACCUUUAUUAGAAGAAAUGCACGUUGAAUCUCGCCUCGUUCCUCAUUCAUCACAAGGUCUCAUGGAGCUGCCAACUGUGUAAACUCUGUGUUGCAUAGAUAAUGAUGCAGCUUUGAUUGCUUAUUUUCAGACAAAUUAAUACUAUAUUCUAAUCAUAUGUUUCUUCACCAAGAGCAAACCAUUAAAAUAAUUUCAAGACAACUAUAUUUUAUGGUAGUUAUUUAUGGUCUGUCAUUGGGAAAGUAAUGCAGAUUCCUUGAAUCCUUUUCCCCACUAUAUCAUAAGCACAU
rnacentral:lncRNA from 1 species